GACGAACGCUGGCGGCGGGCUUAACACAUGCAAGUCGAACGGAAAGGCCCUGCGUUUGUGGGGUGCUCGAGUGGCGAACGGGUGAGUAACACGUGAGUAACCUGCCCUUGACUUUGGGAUAACUUCAGGAAACUGGGGCUAAUACCGGAUAGGAGCUCCUGCUGCAUGGUGGGGGUUGGAAAGUUUCGGCGGUUGGGGAUGGACGCGCGGCUUAUCAGCUUGUUGGUGGGGUAGUGGUUUACCAAGGCAUUGACGGGUAGGCGGCCUGAGAGGGUGAACGGGGACAAGGGGACUGAGAGACGGACCAGUGGCGUACGGGAGGCAGCGGGGGGGAACCUUGUACAGUGGGCGGAAGCCUGAUGCAGCAACGCCGCGGGCGGGAUGACGGCCUGUGGGGUGUAAACCGCUUUCGCCUGUGACGAAGCGUGAGUGACGGUAAUGGGUGAAGAAGCACCGGCUAACUACGUG
rnacentral:rRNA from 1 species